rnacentral:rRNA from 1 species
GUGCCAGCAGCCGCGGUAAUACGGAGGAUGCGAGCGUUAUCCGGAUUUAUUGGGUUUAAAGGGUGCGUAGGCGGACUUAUAAGUCAGUGGUGAAAACCUGCAGCUUAACUGUAGAACUGCCAUUGAUACUGUUAGUCUUGAGUGUGGUCAAGGUAGGCGGAAUGUGUAAUGUAGCGGUGAAAUGCUUAGAUAUUACACAGAACACCGAUUGCGAAGGCAGCUUGCUGGACCGUUACUGACGCUGAUGCACGAAAGCGUGGGGAGCAAACAGGAUUAGAUACCCUGGUAGUCCACGCCGUAAACGAUGAUCACUCGCUGUUGGCGAUAUACAGUCAGUGGCUAAGCAAAAGCAUUAAGUGAUCCACCUGGGGAGUACGGCCGCAAGGCUGAAACUCAAAUGAAUUGACGGGG